rnacentral:rRNA from 1 species
AUGCAGUUGAACGGGAUUUGUAUGGUGCUUGCACCAUGUAAUGAGAGUAGCGCACUGGUGAGUAACACGUGGGAACAUACCUUGAAGUGGGGGACAACAGUUGGAAACGACUGCUAAUACCGCAUAAUCCCUGAGGGGGAAAGAUCUAUCGCUUUAAGAUUGGCCCGCGGAAGAUUAGGUAGUUGGUGGGGUAAAGGCCUACCAAGCCGACGAUCUAUAGCUGGUCUGAGAGGACGAACAGCCACAUUGGAACUGAGACACGGUCCAGACUCCUACGGGAGGCAGCAGUGAGGAAUAUUGGGCAAUGGAGGAAACUCUGACCCAGCCAUGCCGCGUGAGUGAAGAAGGUUUUCGAAUUGUAAAGCUCUUUCGGAUGGGACGAUGAUGACGGUACCAUCUAAAGAAGCCCCGGCAAACUUCGUGCCAGCAGCCGCGGUAAUACGAAGGGGGCAAGCGUUGUUCGGAAUUACUGGGCGUAAAGGGUGUGUAGGCGGAUUUGUAAGAUAGUGGUGAAAUACCUGAGCUCAACUUAGGAAUUGCCAUUAUAACUAUAGAUCUGGAGUGACAGAGAGGAUAUUGGAAUACCCAGUGUAGAGGUGAAAUUCGUAGAUAUUGGGUAGAACACCAGUGGCGAAGGCGAGUAUCUGGCUGUCAACUGACGCUGAGGCACGAAAGCAUGGGGAUCAAACAGGAUUAGAUACCCUGGUAGUCCAUGCUGUAAACGAUGAAUGCUAGUUGUCGGCAAAAGCCGGUGACGCAGUUAACGCGAUAAGCAUUCCGCCUGGGGAGUACGGUCGCAAGAUUAAAACUCAAAGGAAUUGACGGGGACCCGCACAAG